CUCUACAUGGCCAACCUCACUCAACUUCACUCUGGCACAGUGGGAGGAGGAAGAUUUCUAGGGAGAGAAGACAAGUCAGGAAGAACACUGAAGGACCCAGAGAAUCAAAAUGAGAAUAACAGAAACUAGAUAGCACUUCAAAAAGAAGACAAUGUUGUGUGAUUCCCUUGGCCUUCAUGAGGCAGUUAGAAAGCACUGUGCAUAGAUGCCCAAAG